GGGCAGUCUGAUAAGAUGAUCUUGGGGGCAGUACUUCGCUGUGUGUAAAUACCACAUUUUCUUCCUCCAUUCAUCUGUUGAUGAACAUAUAGGCCACUUCCAAGACUCACAGCUGAUACUCCGAAAGACUUCUCAGUAGCCAUGGUACUGGGACUAGUGGGAACUCAUCAUUCUGAUCUUGCCAAGUGGAGCAUGACCAUCUUCAUAUUAUUUUUCCAUGUGGUAUUUCAAUUAAGGAUAACAUGCUGUGAGAAGCAGUUAAGAGGACAGCUGUCUCAUAUUUUUGUGAGAAAAGAUUUUCCAGACACCAGAACUAAUUUUAAAAGAUGGCAGAGGAGUUAACCAAGGAAAGUUGGAAAGACAAUGGAGUGGGGGUGGCACGGAGGCAUGAG
ensembl:lncRNA